GGUAAUAGUUCAGUGGUAGAGUGCAUGCUUAGCAUGAAUGAGGUCCUGGGUUCAAUCCCCAGUAUCUCCA
rnacentral:tRNA from 1 species